GCUUUUAAACUCCGUGCAGCGCACAAAACGCCAGAACAAGGUAGAACAUGGACCGACGCCUUUACAGGAGCUACUCUUGAUUUUGCACUUUUCUGAUUUGGAUACAACACCGGAUUAUGCUAUAAUCUGCAAGCAGACAUCAUUACAUGACAGAAAACAUAUGGACCGAUCUGCAGACGAAAGACAAGAAAAGAACGAAAGAGAAAAAUGGCAAGAUAAAACCUAAUGAACCAGGAGAGGAAAAGACUCUGAUGUUAGUCAGAAGGAAAAGCAUUCAAGACAAAAGACCAAGCUUUUCUCAAGAUGCAGACGGCUUCAUUCUGAUGCUUCAGAAAGAGUCACAGACUCUCACACAUCAGAUCCAGCAGCUGAUUUCUGAUCCUGGAGACUGAGCUUCCUAUAGAGUCCAGCUUUCUGGAGAUCAAGCCGGUGUUCCUGGAGAUUUGGUUUGGAGCUCAUCUUUGCAGGAGACAGAUCUGCAUAAACAGGAUCAGGCUCCUGAGGGGGCAUGGUGAUCACAAAAAUAUGAGACAUGAGGAAAAACUGUAGUUCACAAAGCAAUGCAAACAUUUCACAAGUGAACUUUGAUGAUAUUCAUACCCCUGUGCGUCCACAUUCUACACCAUCAAAGAAAGUCACAUUAUACAAUGUAGCACUGUUCUUAAGUGAUGAGAUAUUAGCUAAAGCUUUGUCUCGUUAUGGCAAACUCUCUCCCAUUAAAAAGAUCCCUAUCAGCAGUGAUCACUCUUAUUAAAACAUGUUUCGUUUACAUGACGAUGCUGUAAACAUUAUUUAUUUGCUAAAACUGUCAUGUCAACCUUUCAGUCAUUAUACACAUUGUACCUACAUCAUAUAACUCAUCUCAAACCCAUGCAUCGCUCUUUCUUUCUGUCAAAAACCGGUUUCUUCAUGAAGCUGUUUGUGUCAUAAUAACACUGGUUCUGUAACAGAAUAUGAUCCAGAUUCAGGCACAUCAGAUGUGUGUUUGAGGAUCAGUGAGUUUAUGAUUCAUGAUGUGAAACACGAUCCUCGUUCACUGCCUUCAACCUGAAACUAAAGGCCUUUGAGUUUGAAAAUCUUCUGUCAUCUGGUGGACAAAUAUAGAAAUUACUGCUAGUCUUCAGCAGAGAACACUUUCAUGAAUUUGUUUUAUUUAUAAUGCCCUAAUUUUUGUUGUAUGUAAUUUAAAUUCUGUGCUCA